GGGGGCAUAGCUCAGCUGGGAGAGCACCUGCUUUGCAAGCAGGAGGUCAUCGGUUCGAUCCCGUUUGCCUCCAU
rnacentral:tRNA from 1 species